GACGAACGCUGGCGGCGUGCUUAACACAUGCAAGUCGAACGGAAAGGCCCUGCUUUUGUGGGGUGCUCGAGUGGCGAACGGGUGAGUAACACGUGAGUAACCUGCCCUUGACUUUGGGAUAACUUCAGGAAACUGGGGCUAAUACCGGAUAGGAGCUCCUGCUGCAUGGUGGGGGUUGGAAAGUUUCGGCGGUUGGGGAUGGACUCGCGGCUUAUCAGCUUGUUGGUGGGGUAGUGGCUUACCAAGGCUUUGACGGGUAGCCGGCCUGAGAGGGUGACCGGCCACAUUGGGACUGCGAUACGGCCCAGACUCCUACGGGAGGCAGCAGUGGAGAAUAUUGCACAAUGGGCGGAAGCCUGAUGCAGCGACGCCGCGUGCGGGAUGACGGCCUUCGGGUUGUAAACCGCUUUCGCCUGUGACGAAGCGUGAGUGACGGUAAUGGGUAAAGAAGCACCGGCUAACUACGUG
rnacentral:rRNA from 1 species